rnacentral:misc_RNA from 1 species
UACCAUUUGCCUACAUGCAUUUGGCAAUGUGGGGUGUGGUUCGUUUGAUAGUAGUGUUGUGUCUUGCGGACGUGAGUGCGUGUGAGUGGUGAUCGGGAUGGCUGUGUUGUUUGGCUCCUUCCUCAUGGGUUUNGGAACUUUCAGCAGGCUAUAACCCUUUUCAUGCAUACAUCGUGCUGGGGGGCCUCGGUGUUCAAUGGUGGUUCCUGUGUUGCCUACCCAUUUAUUGGUAUUCGUGUGCCGCGAAGACCCGUUAUUCACACACCCCCUUGUGGCGGUUGAUGGGGGAUAUCUAAUUUGAUGCGUGUUUUGUNUUAGUCGUGCGUUGUAUCGGCUCAUGUGCCCACGCGUGUAUAUUGUUCCCUUGGAUGCGGUGCAUGUGGUGAAUGUGGGCUGGUGUUUAUGCCUCGUUUCGUUGCUGUGAUAUAACAGUUGCCUUUGAAAGACACUUUGCCGUAGUGCCAGCCUUGCUAUCCCAUUGGUGGUUGCAAUACUUGCAUGUCGU